rnacentral:rRNA from 1 species
UGGGGAAUAUUGCACAAUGGGCGCAAGCCUGAUGCAGCCAUGCCGCGUGUGUGAAGAAGGCCUUCGGGUUGUAAAGCACUUUCAGCUGGGAGGAAGGCGAUAAGGUUAAUAACCUUGUCGAUUGACGUUACCCGCAGAAGAAGCACCGGCUAACUCCGUUCCAGCAGCCGCGGUAAUACGGAGUGUGCAAGCGUUAAUCGGAAUUACUGGGCGUAAAGCGCACGCAGGCGGUCUGUCAAGUCGGAUGUGAAAUCCCCGGGCUUAACCCGGGAAUUGCAUCUGAUACUGGUCAGCUAGAGUCUUGUAGAGGGGGGUAGAAUUACAUGUGUAGCGGUGAAAUGCGUAGAGAUGUGGAGGAAUAACGGUGGCGAAGGCGGCCCCCUGGACAAAGACUGACGCUCAGGUGCGAAAGCGUGGGGAGCAAACAGG